rnacentral:lncRNA from 1 species
AUUGAAGUGGAGCCAUAAAUCCUGGCUCAUUAUCCCCAGAAACCAGAGGGAUCAGGUUGACUUGAAGAGGAGCCAAAGGCCACUUCCUCUUGGAAUCCAGCUGCCAUGCUGGGAGAAUUCUAAGCCACAUGGAGUGGCCAACCAUGUAACUGGGCUCUCAGCCAACAGCAAGCGUCAACUGCCCACCAUAUGAAUGCGCUGUCUUCCAUCCAGCCCUCGAGCCUUCAGAUGACUGCAGCCCUAGCCCCCAUCUGACUGCAGCUGCAGAAAGAAACACUCAACUGGGCACAGUCAACCCCGGAAACAUAAUAAAUUACUGUUUUGUUUUUGUUUUUGAGAUGGGGUCUCACUCUAUCACCCAGGCGGGAGUGCAGUGGUGUGAUAUCG